AGACCCAGCUGUGGCUGCAGACCCAGCUGUGUUGGGGCUGGCUACAUUUGCCUGAGCAGAGCUGGUAACACGCUUGAAGCUUGAGCUCUGACACAGGCAGCAGCAAGCAUUGCUCUGAGGAGGAGUCCAGCUACAGUCAUCAUGUGGAUUGGCCUGUAAAACUGUAGUGGAGCUCUUUCUGCCAUCUCCUGCCUGCCUAAUUCAUACUCCUUAAGAAGCUGCUGCUCUAGGACGAACUGCCCUUUAAGCACAGGUUCUGCCUUCCUGUGACCUGUACCAGGUGCUUCUGAUCCAGCUGCAGUCCAGAGACAUCAGCUGUCAAAUUGGCUUCACAGAAUGAAGUGUUGUGACAACAAAUGAGUAAGGACUGAUGACUCCAAAAGCCACAAACUGCAUAUGAAGUUCUUGGGUGAUGACAAUUUCCUUUGUAAUAUUGCCCAGUGUCUGAGACUAUCCUGAUAGGGUUGUGUAGCCCUGUUGUGAGUAGUGUCCAAUUGCAAAGAGAAGGUUUGCACAAAGACUGAGGAUGGAAUAAGAGUCUUUAUGUCCAGAGAUGAACAGUGAUCUCCAAAAGCUCUUAACACUGACCUAACUCAGAACACAGUCAGUGGAUACAGAUGAAUUUUGGAGAUUCUUGACCAGCAUGGUGCAAAAUGCAGCCCUCUGGUCCAAUCUGGUCUGCAGGAUUAUCUGUCUUUUCUGAAACACCUCUUCUAUGGGAAUUCCAAUUAACAAACUGCUGCUUCCUCCCAAAGAGAGGGAAAGGAGUAUUAUUCUCAUGAUGAGCUGCUGCCUCAUCCCAAAGAGAAGGAAAUGUGGGCAGGGAUAUACCCUGAUACAGAGCAGUUGUUGCUGUGCUUCUGUCUGAAUGAUUUUGAGUUCUUGGACAUAUGAAAGAAACACUCCUGGGGAUAGCCUGGUACCUUAACUUUUUGCUGAACAGGUAAGAACAGCAGCACCUCUCCACCACUGCUGUUCUCAUUUGCUACUUGUUGGGGGGUGGGGAGGAGGGAUGGGACACAGAGUAGGGAGCAAGGGACAGUAAUUUUCCCCUGCAGCCUGUUGCUCCACCCAGCCUUCCCCUCUAGCCUGAUUCACUGCCCAAGUAUGACAGUGUGAAUGGCAGGAGGUAUGAACUGCUAUUGAUUGUCAUCUCAGUCAAGCUAACAGGGUACCUCUCCAGAUUUUGAUCAAUUAGAUUUUUCCUCUUUGGAAGUAGUAUAAACUUAUUUCUUUUGUUAUCAUGUCUGCUAAUAGCAGGGGAUUUUUCUGAAGGUAAUCUUGGAACACACCGGCAGCUCCAGGCACUCUGUAAGAAGCCAAAUACAAGGGAAGGGUGGAGUGAAGUUGCUUUUUGAUAAUAGGAAUAGUCUACAAGAAAGUUUCCUUAUCUCUCUUAAAUGCUUGUUUUUCAGAAAGUAACUGUGAUGAAAAGGCAGCAUCUAUU